AUUGAACGCUGGCGGCAUGCCUUACACAUGCAAGUCGAACGGCAGCACGGGAGCAAUCCUGGUGGCGAGUGGCGAACGGGUGAGUAAUAUAUCGGAACGUGCCCAGUCGUGGGGGAUAACGUAGCGAAAGUUACGCUAAUACCGCAUACGAUCUAUGGAUGAAAGCGGGGGAUCGCAAGACCUCGCGCGAUUGGAGCGGCCGAUAUCAGAUUAGGUAGUUGGUGGGGUAAAGGCUCACCAAGCCGACGAUCUGUAGCUGGUCUGAGAGGACGACCAGCCACACUGGGACUGAGACACGGCCCAGACUCCUACGGGAGGCAGCAGUGGGGAAUUUUGGACAAUGGGCGCAAGCCUGAUCCAGCAAUGCCGCGUGCAGGAAGAAGGCCUUCGGUUGUAAAC
rnacentral:rRNA from 1 species